GGCGUGGGCAGGACGGUCGCUGGCCGUUCCGGCCAGAGGAAAGUCCGAGCUGCAUAGAGCGAGGGUGCCCGGCGAAAGCCGGGGCAGCGUUCGCCGGUGGCGCUGACAGUCCAGAUCGGCACCGUGGCGGGUACCCCGCCGCGGUGAGAGCAACAGAGACCAAUGCCGGGCCCUCUGCGGUCCGGAGUGAAAAGGGCAAUCCUCCCCGCAGCAAUCUCCGAAUGGGCCGCUAUCAGGUUGCUCGCCGAGGCCCGAAGUCGAGAGCAGCCACGGAGGCGACGACGUGGCCGGUCGGUGGCCACGAGCCAUCGGCCGAGACAGAUGACCGUCAAGAACAGAACUCGGCUUACUCGCCCACGCCAUUC
rfam:Sphaerobacter thermophilus DSM 20745 chromosome 1, complete sequence.